AGCAGCGUGGUUCAGUGGAAAGAGCCUGGGCUUGGGAGCCAGAGGUCAUGGGUUCGAAUCCCGCCUCUACCA
rnacentral:tRNA from 1 species